rfam:Carnobacterium maltaromaticum LMA28 complete genome
AUAAAAGCAGUGAUGAGAAAAGUAGUUUAGCGAAUGUCCAAAGAGAGUCUGUGUAGGUGAAAUCAGACGUCAGAAGCUAAAUAAAGUGCCUCUCGGAGUUGUCCUAGUGAAGUUUAAAGUAGCUAAGACCGGUUCACACCCGUUAACCUGUUUGAGUUAAUUACCCUUAAUUAGGCUAAUUAAGAAUAAAAGUGGAACCACGCAAUGAGAAGGCGUCUUUUGU